CAGCCGCCGCGGGAAUACGAAGGGGGCUAGCGUUGUUCGGAUUUACUGGGCGUAAAGGGUGCGUAGGCGGAUUGUUAAGUCAUGGGUGAAAUGCCGGGGCUCAACCUCGGAACUGCCUUUGAUACUGGCGAUCUUGAGUCCGGGAGAGGUGAGUGGAACUGCGAGUGUAGAGGUGGAAUUCGUAGAUAUUCGCAAGAACACCAGUGGCGAAGGCGGCUCACUGGCCCGGAACUGACGCUGAGGCACGACAGCGUGGGGAGCAAACAGGAUUAGAUACCCCAGUAGUCCCUGUCUCUUAUAC
rnacentral:rRNA from 1 species